GCAGCAGGGACAAACGCUGUGAAUGCUGGCCUGAUUCCUGGGCACCCACGCUGCAGAACCAGCCAUUCCCCUCAUCGUGGCUCCCAGAUCCCCAUGACUCCAUCCCGGUUCACCAUGCCAUAGCCCGUUCAGACCCUCAUGCCACAAAUUACAGUUUAGAAGUCUUAAGGCAAUGGAAAGAGCUGUCCACACAGGGUGGAUCUGGAAGAGUCCCCUGUUCAUUGACGUUUUCACACAUCACUGAAGAUCACUUGCUCAGUUCAUUUCUGUUGGCCAUCUCCCGUCACAGCAUGAAGAGUCACAUUUCCUCCAGGAACUGUGGCGCUAUGGCACAUUUGCAACAUAACUGCUCCCAUCAACUUUGUAUUUUCAAACACUUGAAACAAUACAUUGUGGAAGCUGGAGAGAUGGCUCAGAGGUUAAGAGCACUUGCUGCUCUUCUGAGGACCUGGGUUCCAUUUCUAGUAUCCAUAUGACGGCUCACAACCAUCUAUAACUCCAGUUCCAGAAAAUCUGACACCAUCUUCCGGUGCACUUGCUUACAGGCAAAAUACCCAUGCACAUUGAAAUAAAAAUAAAUUUUA